GCGAUACAGGGUGACAGCCCCGUACACAAAAAUGCACAUGCUGUGAGCUCGAUGAGUAGGGCGGGACACGUGGUAUCCUGUCUGAAUAUGGGGGGACCAUCCUCCAAGGCUAAAUACUCCUGACUGACCGAUAGUGAACCAGUACCGUGAGGGAAAGGCGAAAAGAACCCCGGCGAGGGGAGUGAAAAAGAACCUGAAACCGUGUACGUACAAGCAGUGGGAGCCUCUUUAUGGGGUGACUGCGUACCUUUUGUAUAAUGGGUCAGCGACUUAUAUUCUGUAGCAAGGUUAACCGAAUAGGGGAGCCGAAGGGAAACCGAGUCUUAACUGGGCGUUAAGUUGCAGGGUAUAGACCCGAAACCCGGUGAUCUAGCCAUGGGCAGGUUGAAGGUUGGGUAACACUAACUGGAGGACCGAACCGACUAAUGUUGAAAAAUUAGCGGAUGACUUGUGGCUGGGGGUGAAAGGCCAAUCAAACCGGGAGAUAGCUGGUUCUCCCCGAAAGCU
rnacentral:rRNA from 1 species